rnacentral:rRNA from 1 species
UACGGAGGGUGCAAGCGUUAUCCGGAUUCACUGGGUUUAAAGGGUGCGUAGGUGGGCUUGUAAGUCCGUGGUGAAAUCCCCGAGCUUAACUUGGGAACUGCCAUUGAUACUAUCAGUCUUGAAUACCGUGGAGGUCAGCGGAAUAUGUCAUGUAGCGGUGAAAUGCUUAGAUAUGACAUAGAACACCAAUUGCGAAGGCAGCUGGCUACACGAAUAUUGACACUCAGGCACGAAAGCGUGGGGAUCAAACAGG